CCUACGGGGGGCUGCAGUGGGGAAUAUUGCACAAUGGGCGCAAGCCUGAUGCAGCCAUGCCGCGUGUGUGAAGAAGGCCUUCGGGUUGUAAAGCACUUUCAGCGGGGAGGAAGGCGUUAAGGUUAAUAACCUUGGCGAUUGACGUUACCCGCCGAAGAAGCACCGGCUAACUCCGUGCCAGCAGCCGCGGUAAUACGGAGGGUGCAAGCGUUAAUCGGAAUUACUGGGCGUAAAGCGCACGCAGGCGGUCUGUCAAGUCGGAUGUGAAAUCCCCGGGCUCAACCUGGGAACUGCAUUCGAAACUGGCAGGCUAGAGUCUUGUAGAGGGGGGUAGAAUUCCAGGUGUAGCGGUGAAAUGCGUAGAGAUCUGGAGGAACACCGGUGGCGAAGGCGGCCCCCUGGACAAAGACUGACGCUCAGGUGCGAAAGCGUGGGGAGCAAACAGGAUUAGAUACCCCGGUAGUC
rnacentral:rRNA from 1 species